AAGUCGUAACAAGGUAACCGUAGGUGAACCUGCGGUUGGAUCAUUAAAAAAUUUGAUUUUUUUAUAUAAUGAUAUUGAAAAUGAAUGAGCUCCUAUACUUUUUUUUAAAGUAUGGUUUGUAGCUUUUUCAUUUUUAUAUAAUAUUAUUAUAUAAAAACAAACACUUUGUGCACUAUAAAUGUUUUUUGGGAGUAUAUAUUUUAAUAUGACUCCCAGCAUUAUAAACCAAAUUUUAUAUAUUAGUCUAAUAGUUUUUCAUAUAAUGAAAUAUAUUAAAACAACUUUUGACAACGGAUCUCUUGGCUCUC
rnacentral:misc_RNA from 1 species